CUCGUCAUUAGACCUAAUCCCUGUUAUAGACCACCAUUUAAAGAAUGCCCAGACCCGAAUCCCUUCCAGCUUCGCGAUCUGACCCUUAACAAUCUUGCCGGUCACCUUUUUCGAGUAGGUGGCCAAGUAGUUAUCGGGCGGCAGCGUGACUUGACACGUGCCACCGAAGUCGACGGAGAAGUCACCGGAGGACAGAUUGAGAGUAUAGUUGAGGACGGAGGAAGGGAGAAGACCGAUAGGGAAGCCGUAGUUGGUAAGCUCGACGUGGGCGGCGGUUGGGGGGGUUUGGGCGGAGGAGAGAGAAAUGAGAAGGAAGAGAGAGAAAAGAGAGAGAAGUGUCGUCAUGGUUCUGUGGCGUCGUUUUUAGGCGAGAUCUAACUUGUUCUGUUUUGUUGGUUGGGGCUUUCAGCUUUGUUUUGAAAAGGGCCUCAAAGAGUUAGCCAGAAAAGGAGAAGGUAGAAGAC
rnacentral:misc_RNA from 1 species